rnacentral:rRNA from 1 species
AAUAGAUACCCGGGUAGUCCACGCCGUAAACGAUGAGUGCUAGGUGUUGGGGGUAUCAUGCCCUCGGUGCCGAAGUCAACACAUUAAGCACUCCGCCUGGGGAGUACGGUCGCAAGACUGAAACUCAAAGGAAUUGACGGGGACCCGCACAAGCAGUGGAGUAUGUGGUUUAAUUCGAAGCAACGCGAAGAACCUUACCAGGCCUUGACAUCCCUUUGAAUACGUUAGAGAUAGCGUAGGCCUUCGGGACAGAGGAGACAGGUGGUGCAUGGUCGUCGUCAACUCGUGUCGUGAGAUGUUGGGUUAAGUCCCGCAACGAGCGCAACCCUUGAACUUAGUUGCCAGCGAGCAAAGUCGGGCACUCUAGGUUGACUGCCGGUGACAAACCGGUGGAAGGCGGGGAUGACGUCAAAUCAUCAUGCCCCUUAUGGCCUGGGCUACACACGUACUACAAUGGCCGGUACAACGGGCUGCGAAGCCGCAAGGCGGAGCCAAUCCCAGCAAAGCCGGUCUCAGUUCGGAUUGCAGGCUGCAAC